AUGUGCCGUUUAGCGACCGGCUGCUGCAGUGCUGCUACUACACCUGCCAUAGCAACAGUGAUACGAGAUCCUGACAGACCGGACAAAUUCACAUGGCCAUGUGCCGCCUCUGGAACCUACUCGGCGAUAUCCACUUGCAACCGGCUGUGCCAAGAACUACCGGUAUGCCAUUACGCCUCUGCCAUAUGGAGAAGUUGGGCGCCACUCAAGUGCAAGAUCUUUACUUGGUUAGCUGCACAAUACCGGAUUUGGACAUCGGACAGACGUGCCCGGCAUGGGCUGCAAGACACGGCCUCGGCAUGCUUCACUUGCCUGCAAGAGGAAGACAACGUCGACCAUAUUUUCAUGCAAUGUGUCUACGCACAAGAAACGUGGCACUGCUGUCUUGAUGCUAUACAACUGCCGAUCCAGAGGCCAGCGACAACGGACACAUUCUUGGGAUGGUGGAUGCUCCACGGACAGCAAUUCCGCAAAGCUGGGAAAAAAUUUCUACUCCUUUGUUAUUUGGACAGUGUGGUCCUUGUGGAAGCAAAGAAACGCUUGCGUCUUCGCCCGAGUGGAGCAGCAAAUGGACGCGCAAACGUUGGCCGGUAA
rnacentral:rRNA from 1 species